rnacentral:rRNA from 1 species
GUGGGGAAUCUUGCGCAAUGGGCGAAAGCCUGACGCAGCCAUGCCGCGUGGAUGAUGAAGGUCUUAGGAUUGUAAAAUCCUUUCACCGGUGAAGAUAAUGACUGUAGCCGGAGAAGAAGCCCCGGCUAACUUCGUGCCAGCAGCCGCGGUAAUACGAAGGGGGCUAGCGUUGCUCGGAUUUACUGGGCGUAAAGGGCGCGUAGGCGGACAUUUAAGUCAGGGGUGAAAUCCCGGGGCUCAACCUCGGAACUGCCUUUGAUACUGGAUGUCUUGAGUGUGAGGGAGGUGUGUGGAACUCCGAGUGUAGAGGUGAAAUUCGUAGAUAUUCGGAAGAACACCAGUGGCGAAGGCGACACACUGGCUCAUUACUGACGCUGAGGCGCGAAAGCGUGGGGAGCAAACAGGAUUAGAUACCCGGGUAGUCC